CCUACGGGGGGCAGCAGUGGGGAAUAUUGGGCAAUGGGCGCAAGCCUGACCCAGCAACGCCGCGUGAAGGAAGAAGGCUUUGGGGUUGUAAACUUCUUUUCUCAGGGACGAAGCAAGUGACGGUACCUGAGGAAUAAGCCACGGCUAACUACGUGCCAGCAGUCGCGGGAAGCCGGAGGCGGCAAGCGUUAUCCGGAUUGACUGGGUGUAAAGGGCGUGUAGGCGGGACUGCAAGUCAGAUGUGAAAACCACGGGCUCAACCUGUGGCCUGCAUUUGAAACUGGCGGUCUUGAGUACUGGAGAGGCAGACGGAAUUCCUGGUGUAGCGGUGAAAGGCAUAGAUAUUGGGAGGAACACCAGUGGCGAAGGCAGUCUGCUGGACAGCAACUGACGCUGAGGCGCGAAAGCGUGGGGAGCAAACAGGAUUAGAUACCCCUGUAGUC
rnacentral:rRNA from 1 species